GUGCCAGCAGCCGCGGUAAUACAGAGGGUGCGAGCGUUAAUCGGAAUUACUGGGCGUAAAGCGAGUGUAGGUGGCUCAUUAAGUCACAUGUGAAAUCCCCGGGCUUAACCUGGGAACUGCAUGUGAUACUGGUGGUGCUAGAAUAUGUGAGAGGGAAGUAGAAUUCCAGGUGUAGCGGUGAAAUGCGUAGAGAUCUGGAGGAAUACCGAUGGCGAAGGCAGCUUCCUGGCAUAAUAUUGACACUGAGAUUCGAAAGCGUGGGUAGCAAACAGGAUUAGAUACCCUGGUAGUCC
rnacentral:rRNA from 1 species